AUCCUUUUGUAGCUCAUAAGUGUGAUGAUUGGGUUUUCACGUAGAUAUGUGAGAGGUGCCACUCAUAAACAUCGGCACAUUACCCAUCUGACU
ensembl:snoRNA